UCGGGAAUUUUGGGCAAUGGGGGAAACCCUGACCCAGCCAUGCCGCGUGAAGGAUGAAGUAUUUCGGUAUGUAAACUUCGAAAGAAUAGGAAGAAUAAAUGACGGUACUAUUUAUAAGGUCCGGCUAACUACGUGCCAGCAGCCGCGGUAAUACGUAGGGACCAAGCGUUGUUCGGAUUUACUGGGCGUAAAGGGCGCGUAGGCGGCAUGACAAGUCACUUGUGAAAUCUCUGGGCUUAACCCAGAACGGCCAAGUGAUACUGUCGCGCUAGAGUGCAGAAGGGGCAAUCGGAAUUCUUGGUGUAGCGGUGAAAUGCGUAGAUAUCAAGAGGAACACCUGAGGUGAAGACGGGUUGCUGGGCUGACACUGACGCUGAGGCGCGAAAGCCAGGGGAGCAAACGGGAUUAGAUACCCUCGUAGUCCCUGAGCGGGCUGGCAAGGCGCAU
rnacentral:rRNA from 1 species